rnacentral:rRNA from 1 species
UUGGAGGGCAAGUCUGGUGCCAGCAGCCGCGGUAAUUCCAGCUCCAAUAGCGUAUAUUAAAGUUGUUGCAGUUAAAAAGCUCGUAGUUGAAUUUCGGGAUUAGUACGCUGGUCGUGCCUUCGGUACGUACUGGUGUUACUGAUUUCUACCUUCUGACGAACCAUCAUGUCAUUAAUUUGGUGUGGUGGGGAAUCAGGACUGUUACUUUGAAAAAAUUAGAGUGUUUAAAGCAGGCUCGCGCUUGAAUACAUUAGCAUGGAAUAAUGAAAUAGGACGUUGAUCCUAUUUUGUUGGUUUCUAGGAUUGACGUAAUGAUUAAUAGGGAUAGUUGGGGGCAUUAGUAUUCAAUUGUCAGAGGUGAAAUUCUUGGAUUUAUUGAAGACUAACUACUGCGAAAGCAUUUGCCAAGGAUGUUUUCAUUAAUCAAGAACGAAAGUUAGGGGAUCGAAGACGAUCAGAUACCGUCGUAGUCUUAACCAUAAACUAUGCCGACUAGGGAUCGGAUGAUGUUAAUUUUUUAAUGACUCAUUCGGCGCCUUACGGGAAAC